rnacentral:rRNA from 1 species
UGAAAAGGGACCGACCCUUCGGGGAGCCUAUACAGGUGUUGCAUGGCUGUCGUCAGCUCGUGUCGUGAGAUGUCGGUUAAGUCCGCUAACGAGCGCAACCCUCGUCGUAUGUUAUAUGUGUCAUACGAGACUGCCGGUAAAAAGCCGGAGGAAGGUGAGGAUGAUGUCAAGUCAGCAUGACCUUUAUAUCCAGGGCUACACACACGCUACAAUGGUCUGUACAAUGGGUAGCCAAGCCGCGAGGCGGAGCCAAUCCUGAAAGCAGGCCUCAGUUCAGAUUGCAGUCUGCAACUCGACUGCAUGAAGCCGGAGUUGCUAGUAACCGCAGGUCAGCAAUACUGCGGUGAAUACGUUCCCGGGUCUU